UACGUAGGGGGCUAGCGUUGUCCGGAAUCAUUGGGCGUAAAGAGCGUGUAGGCGGCUCGGUAAGUCCGCUGUGAAAGUCCAGGGCUCAACCCUGGAAUGCCAGUGGAAACUGUCGAGCUAGAGUCCGGAAGAGGCGAGUGGAAUUCCUGGUGUAGCGGUGAAAUGCGCAGAUAUCAGGAAGAACACCCGUGGCUAAGGCGGUUCUCUAGUACGGUACUGACGCUGAGACGCGAAAGCGUGGGGAGCGAACAGG
rnacentral:rRNA from 1 species